rnacentral:ncRNA from 1 species
AAGCAAGGAUAAAAACGCAACGUAUGCCAUGCGCAUGCCAGAGCCGGUAGGUAGCCCGGCCGCUGUGGUCUUUCCGCGGUAAGUAACCCUCCCCUCCGGGUCGUCCGUUCUUUG